GUCCUUCCCGCCGCCCCCGCUGGCUGGCCGCCCGCGCCCACUGCUCCGGCCACUUUCUUGAGUACCCGGUCCGUGUCUACCUAUAUCAAUGGCGAAGCGCUUGGCGUUCUCCAGGUUGCGGAAGAUCUCGUCGGGGGGCAGCGUGAUGCUCUUGUCCAGACUGUCCCCGCCGCUCCCGCCGCCACUCGCUCCACGCUCCGCCAUUUUGAAAGUGCCCGGCCAGCCUCAUCAGCCAUGGAAAUAUAUGCGCAUAUAAUUGACUGCUAAACGACCGCGUGCAUAAAUUAUGCUAAUGAGUCUCCGCCCCCCGUCCGCCUGUGCUGGAGGCCAGGCCACCCGACCGUCCUAGACAAGCAAGUGUCCCAGAGGCCAGGACUGGGAAGGGAGGGCCGUUAUUUUCCAAACUACCAAUAUGAAGCUUUUGGAAUAUUGUUCUUUCGC
rnacentral:lncRNA from 1 species